rnacentral:lncRNA from 1 species
AAAAUUUUCAAAUUUAACAAAAUAUAUAACCAAAAAUUGUUAAAUCUGAAAAUUUCAAAAUAUAUUGCAAGAACCAAACUAGAAUUUUUUUGAUUCUCAAUGAUUCAACAUGAAGAGGCUCUGAUAUCACUUGUUGUAUAAUUUAAUACUUUAAAUUACUGGAUCUUUCAUGUUAAAUCAUCAAGAAAUAUAAGAAUUAAAGCGGAAGCAUACCUGAAUCUGACAUGGUUAAUGCAAUAUGAAUUUCGCGGUAUGAUCUUCCAAAUCUACACGCAGUCUCCUUUUCUUCUUUGUGAUGGGAUGCAGUAGAGAAUGAAUAAUACGUUUCGUUGGUGUGAUUUGGGGACCAUAACCUAUUUAUAUAGGGAUGCCAUUUGACCUAAUUCGGUCCAUCAUAGAAUUAGGAUUUGGGUCCCGUCUCUACACAUAUGUAAAUCCAUACUUUAAUUGGAUACAUUAAAGCCCAAAAUCGAAGCCUUAUUAGAUCACUUUAAUUGGGCUCAACCGAAUUCGAUAGCCUAUAAUUUAACACACAAUUAUUCACAUAUACAAACCCAUCUUUAAUUAAAAAUUCUUACAUGUGGGGCAUAAUUUAUGGACUUCGCCUUGAGCCUCGACAAUCAUAGAACCGGCCCUAAAGGCAGCCAUUGUAUCAUAUCCAUUUUCUCGUAAAGGAUGCUCACAGAUAGAUUGUAGGGCAUAUAUUUUCUCAACAAAAGGUUUCAUGACAGUUGUCUUCCAGUUAAAUAGUUGUGUAAUUACUAAUUAUUUCUAUAUGUACUUAAACGUCACAUGAAUCAAAGUUAAGAGCAUUUUCAAUACUUCAUCAAAAGUGACCAUUUAUGUAAUGUCUGUAAAAAGUGACAAUUUCUUUAUACCUUUUCUUUCAAAAAAAAUAAAAUUGAGUUUGUGAAAUUCUAAUGUAAUUGGCACCAGCAUCAAGGUCUUGG